ACUGGGUCUUGAAGGAGGAACUCAUCAGGCAGAUAAUUUGGCAACCUUGUCCCUGGAAAUCUGGCACCACUGGGGCUCCUGUCUCUCAGAAUUAAAAAAAAAAAAAAAAAAAAAUCCAGUCUCUGCACAGGCCUCCCAAUGAGCUGCCACCCAAUAGGAGAGACAGAUCAAAGCUGCCUUUUCUUAGCAACUGAAGCCUUGCCCAGCCACCGUAGAAGAGAUCUCUGCCAAACUCCCUCCUCUUUGAAGAAACACAACAGAGUCCAAGUGAGAAGUAGCUACAGUUUAAUACAAACCUGCACCAGAACACAA
rnacentral:antisense_RNA from 1 species